CUAUGGAACAACCUAUAGAGUUUAGAGAGGGAGACUUUUCUACUGAACAAAGAAACCAACAGCAGAGAUCAGAGAUUCUCCGUAGUCAGUCUUCCCAGAGUCAUCAAACAGACCUGGCCUCCAUAUUCAGUUUGCUUGAAGAGAAAAUUAUGAAAUUUGUGAAGAACGAGCUGAAGAUGUU